rnacentral:lncRNA from 1 species
UGAAAGUCAGGUCGGAUUAAGCCAUAGUACGGGAAAAACUAUGCUACCUGUGAGCCCUGUCCAAGGACGUAAAAAGAAGUCAGGCCAUCACACAUGCCACAGCUUGAGUAAACUGUGCAGCCUGUAGCUCCACCUGAGGAGGUGUAAAAAACCCGGGAGGCCACAAACCAUGGAAGCUGUACGCAUGGCGUAGUGGACUAGCGGUUAGAGGAGACCCCUCCCUUACAAAUCGCAGCAACAACGGGGG